UACGGGGGGGGCUAGCGUUGUUCGGAAUUACUGGGCGUAAAGGGCGCGUAGGCGGUCUGCUAAGUUGGAUGUGAAAACUCUGGGCUUAACCCGGAGCCUGCAUUCAAUACUGACAGGCUAGAGUUCUGGAGGGGAUAGCGGAAUUCCUGGUGUAGCGGUGAAAUGCGUAGAUAUCAGGAGGAACACCGGUGGCGAAGGCGGCUAUCUGGACAGAGUCUGACGCUGAGGCGCGAAAGCUAGGGGAGCAAACAGG
rnacentral:rRNA from 1 species